rnacentral:lncRNA from 1 species
AUGGGCUCCGUGCAGUGGCGGGGCGCUGCGGGGAAGGGGGGACGGGAGCCCGGGGGCGGAGGGGGGGGGGUCCCGGGUUCAGAACCCGUGCGGGUGCGGCCGGGGCCGCCGGGGAGUGCGGGCCAGCGGGGCGGGCCGGGGGCCGGGCCCGGUGCACCUUGCGGGCCGCGGGCGGGGUGUCCGGGCGGGGCGCGGGGGGCCGCGGCCGGGCCGCUGCUGUGUGCGCCGCGGGCGGGGCCCUCCGGGGGCGCCGCGCGGCCUGCGCCGCCCCCGCCCGACGGCCCGGCGGCGGGGUCAGCGCCCGCGGGCGCGCGGGGAGCGGCCAUGUUGGCUGCGUCCCGGGGCCGCGGGCGGCCGGAGGGGGGCGCCGUGCGGGGCGAGGGCGGCGGGCGGCGGGCGGGCGGCUGCGGGCGGGAAGCCGGCCGCGGGCGAGGCGCUCCAGAAGGGUCGCGGCGGCGGCGCCGAGCGGGAGCCGAGGGGCGGUGCGCGAGGCGGGCCUCGAACCCGGGCGGGGGGUUCAGCCCUGCGCGCGGCCGCCCUGACGCGCUGUCUUUCUCUCCCCUCGCCUCCCGAUCCAGGAUUCAGAAGGAGCUGGCGGACAUCACUCUAGACCCUCCGCCCAACUGCAGCGCUGGCCCCAAAGGCGACAACAUCUACGAGUGGAGGUCCACCAUCCUCGGGCCCCCAGGCUCCGUGUACGAGGGCGGCGUGUUCUUCCUCGAUAUCACCUUCACACCGGAGUACCCCUUCAAGCCUCCGAAGGUUACAUUUCGGACAAGAAUCUAUCACUGUAAUAUUAACAGUCAAGGAGUUAUUUGCUUGGACAUUUUGAAAGAUAAUUGGAGCCCAGCACUAACCAUUUCUAAAGUCCUUCUUUCUAUCUGCUCACUUCUCACAGACUGUAAUCCUGCCGACCCCUUGGUGGGAAGUAUCGCCACUCAGUAUAUGACCAACAGGGCAGAGCACGACAGGAUGGCCAGACAGUGGACCAAGAGAUACGCCACGUAAACUGGGCUCCACAGUCCUUCACAGCAUUGUCUGUCACAGAGAGAGCUGCUUAUGAUUUUGAAGGGGUGGGGGA